CCUUGGGAUGGGUCGGCCGGUC
rnacentral:siRNA from 1 species